UGACGUGGGCGACGUGCGUAAAUACCAUUUACCGGGAUGUGAGAAUAUAUUUUUUUUUAAUGUGUCAUAAAUUAAUUACACAUAUAUGCUUCAAUCCAGUAAUAAUGUAAUUAAAAAUGCCAGUUUGCAUGAGAAAUAGAAAAAUGGCAAUAAUGUCAACGCCAAUGAGUGAGGACAGUGGUGUGCUAAGAGAAUGGGCUCCAUUAGCAACUCUUCUUCAAAGAUUACCAGCAAAAAUACAAAAUGGACUUUUCUCACAAAAUAUUAAUUUCACUUGCAUUGAUGUCCUGUCGGAAUUUAUAGCAAUUGGCACAAAUCACGGUCUUGUUUAUUGGUUCAAUCGCGAGAAUGGAGAAAUACAAAAACUUCGAUGUGAAAAUGUAAACACAGUGAUUACUUGUAUAAGAGUAAUUUCAACAGUCGAUUAUAUGGUUGCCGUGGGAAAUGAUCAAGGAAUAGUUACAGUUUUUCAAAUACCAAAACAACCUCCAGACUCAUUGCCAGAAAGUUUAAAACCAAAACAGAAGAAACAAGUCGAGAGGUAUAAUAUUGCCGGUUUACACAAAUCAACAGUCACGGCUGUUGAUUGGUCGAAAAAUGGCAUGAAACUAUUUAGUGGUGAUCAAGACGGUUUGGUCGUUUUUACAGAAAUCGAUUUUUAUAUGCAUUUAUCCAAGUCGUCGGAACUUUUAAACGAAAAGUAUUCAAUUGUACAGCUUAGUUAUCAACAAGGUUUACUAUUAGUGUCCACAUUAUUUCGGACAAUUCUCGUCAAUCUAAAUGAUAAAGGAAAAGUGAUGCAGGUGGGACAAAAGGAGCGUAAGAUAUUAGGUAAAUUAGGAGCAGUAUUUGGAAAUCGUAUUAGUCAUGUUCAGAAUCCGGUGAUUUAUGCGAGCAGACCUGGUUUAAGACUUUGGCAAGCUGAUAAAAAUGGAACUGUAUUAAAGACACUGAUGUUUAAAGAUGCAAUUAAAUUUGGCCAUUCGGAAGUUGAAUUACUGAAUCCAGCGCAGGAGAGUACAAGAAAAAGUAGAGGAGAGCCGACGUUUGGAAUUGUAUUGCCAUUCUCUGAUGAUUUAUUGGUCACUUAUAGUGAUGAUAUUAUUUAUGUUGUUAAUCCAAUAACUAUUAGUAUUACGGCCGCGAUAACUGACGUGAGACACGUUACUCACGUUGCGUGCACGAAAGACGAGAUCUUUAUCCUUGAAGGCAAAAGAAAUAUUAUUAGAGUUGCUUAUCAUCCUGAGAAUAAUUCUUACAUCUCCAAUACAGAUUCCAUGAUGGAUUCAAUAUCUCUUGCCCAAAUUAGUAAGCCGGUGACUACGGGAAUUUUGGAAUUGACUUCAAAACUUAAGGAAAGUUCAAUUGUUCCAGCAAUUCCAUUUCAUAAAAUUAAUCCAACGAAUAUUAUACAAGCAAUCGGUGUCCUGCCUUCUGUGACAAUAGGAACGGACACAACGUCAAUAGUAAAUGCGGAGGAAGCCUUAGAAAUACCGCCAAUUGUUCCUUUGGAACUCGAAACUCCCUUGGUGACUGACAAUGACUCAACGUUACGAGUCGGAAUAAUUGAAUCGUGUAAAUUGCCAACUCUCGAGGAAAAUGAAAAACGCAAUGAUCGUCGACGAAUAUUUGAAAAAAUUGCCGAACAAGAAUUCGAGGACGUUGUAUUUACUCCUGAACGUAGAAAUAGAAAAUCAUCAAACAAAACAAUUAACGGAAUUCAUAGCAAUGGAUUUGGUGAUGAUUCAUCGAAUUUUAAUCAUAAAUUUAAAUUAAAUAAUGGUGUGACGACUCAUUCUUCAUUACUUACAUUGAGUAUUGAUAACGAUAUGUUAUUAAAAUCAGAUAGAAAUUUAGAUUCUAUACAAAAGGAUGUGGAGAAUAAGGAGAAAUUAUUAGCUGAUGUUUUGAAUUUUGAUUUGUCUGAAUAUAUGACGAGUAGUCGAAUCUAUCCACCAGAUUCAAAUAUUUUAACAUCAAUUGACGCAAUUCCUUACGAUAAUUGUAGUAUUAAUGAAAGCGAAUAUAAUUCAGAAAUAAAAAACGAUAUUGAUGAUGAACAGGACGAAGUGACUGAUCGUACGGAAACUGAAUCUGUCGAGGAGGACGCAAGCUAUAAAACGGAAUUGAAGAAACUUGAAGAUUUGGGAGAGUGCAGUAAAAUACUCUUAAAGAACAAAUUGAGUGAAUUUCAAAAUAACAACGUCGAUAUUGGAGUUGAACCUCCAACUUCAAAUAUCAAUGUUGAUUCUGAACUUCAAUUUAAUGAUCUUUCAAGAGACUUUGUGUCGACGAUUGUUUACGAGGAGAAAAGAAAAGAUAAAGAUAAUGAAGACUGGGUGUUUGUCAGCUACCCUUGAAAAUAUUUUUCGGUUCCUUUGUAGUUCAAAUGGACAAUUUUGUAGACUGAUGGAUUCACGCGGAAGCAAGCGAAAAACAUCGUAUGAAACAUCCUACAACUCGUUUACAAUCACGUAUUGCUUGAUACAUCCAAUUUUUCAUUAUAUUUAUUAUUUAAUAUAAAACGCACGAGAAGCUAUUAAAGGCUUCUUGAAAAUUGUAUCAUCGUUAACUAAUUAGUUUCGUUUGUUUUUUCUAUAAUGAUAUUUAUAUACUCUCAUUCUCAAAAUACAAAAUACAAAAAAUUUAUUCACAAAAAGAAAAU